ACUCACACAGUGUGUUAAAUUAUGGGAUAACCUGGAGACUUGAAAUGGCACCAACUUUCCUAUCUGUGAAGAGACACUUUAGGAAGAAUAAAGCUUCAGGAGGAGAAAAGACAAAGAUUUCUACUGAAUCAGGGAUGUGAGAUCUAUCGACCAUCAGCUCAUCUGUGUGUAAGAUCCAGUUGAGGAGGUAAGUAUCUGCACAUCAUUCCUGACUCAACUGAUUUUUCUUUUCUUGCUUUGGGAAAUGGUGUCGGACUUAUAUUCAGAAUCAAAAAUGUUUUUCUGAUUAGAUUGUGGUGACCAGUACAGAGCUAUCUUUGAUGGGUGAUAAAUUUGAAAGCAAACAUAUAUAAUAUCUAGUCUUACCUUAACUAAUGUGACAUUUUCAUUUUUUUUGGUCUGAGGAGCAAGUUGAAAAUGAUCAGGACAUGCCAUCAAUACCCCAAGGCACCAUGCUGCCUUGGGGUACUGAUUACUUGGAGUAGAGGACACUUGAAACACAGCAACUGAAAGAAGAGCC
rnacentral:lncRNA from 1 species